rnacentral:rRNA from 1 species
AUACGAGGGGUUCAAGCGUUGUUCGGAAUUACUGGGCGUAAAGGGAGCGUAGGCGGAGAUUCAAGCGGAUUGUACAAUCCCGGGGCCCAACCCCGGCUCUGCAGUCCGAACUGGAUCUCUUGGAUAGUUCAGGGGCAGGCGGAAUUCCUGGUGUAGCGGUGGAAUGCGUAGAGAUCAGGAAGAACACCGAUGGCGAAGGCAGCCUGCUGGGGACUUAUCGACGCUGAGGCUCGAAAGUGCGGGUAGCAAACAGGAUUAGAUACCCUGGUAGUCCGCACCGUAAACGAUGCAUACUGGGUGUCCGGGGGUUCCCCCGGGUACCGUAGCCAACGCGUUAAGUAUGCCGCCUGGGGAGUACGUACGCAAGUAUGAAACUCAAAUGAAUUGACGGGG